GACGAACGCUGGCGGCGUGCUUAACACAUGCAAGUCGAACGGAAAGGCCCUGCUUUUGUGGGGUGCUCGAGUGGCGAACGGGUGAGUAACACGUGAGUAACCUGCCCUUGACUUUGGGAUAACUUCAGGAAACUGGGGCUAAUACCGGAUAGGAGCUCCUGCUGCAUGGUGGGGGUUGGAAAGUUUCGGCGGUUGGGGAUGGACUCGCGGCUUAUCAGCUUGUUGGUGGGGUAGUGGCUUACCAAGGCUUUGACGGGUAGCCGGCCUGAGAGGGUGACCGGCCACAUUGGGACUGAGAUGCGGCACAGACUCAUACGGGAGGCAGCAGUGGGGAAUAUUGUACAAUGGGCGGAAGCCUGAUGCAGCAACGCCGCGUGCGGGAUGACGGCCUUCGGGUUGUAAACCGCUUUCGCCUGUGACGAAGCGUGAGUGACGGUAAUGGGUAAAGAAGCACCGGCUAACUACGUG
rnacentral:rRNA from 1 species